AUUGAACGCUGGCGGCAUGCCUUACACAUGCAAGUCGAACGGCAGCACGGGAGCAAUCCUGGUGGCGAGUGGCGAACGGGUGAGUAAAGUAUCGGAACGUGCCCAGUCGUGGGGGAUAGCGUAGCGAAAGUUACGCUAAUACCGCAUACGAUCUAUGGAUGAAAGAGGGGGAUCGCAAGACCUCGCGCGAUUGGAGCGGCCGAUUUCAGAUUAGGUAGUUGGGGGGGUAAAGGCCCACCAAGCCGACGAUCUGUAGCUGGUCUGAGAGGACGACCAGCCACACUGGGACUGAGACACGGCCCAGACUCCUACGGGAGGCAGCAGUGGGGAAUUUUGGACAAUGGGCGAAAGCCUGAUCCAGCCAUGCCGCGUGCAGGAUGAAGGCCUUCGGGUUGUAAACUGCUUUUGUACGGAACGAAAAGGACUGCCCUAAUACGGUGGUCCCAUGACGGUACCGUAAGAAUAAGCACCGGCUAACUACGUGCCAGCCGCCGCAGUAA
rnacentral:rRNA from 1 species